UUACUUUAAGAAAGUUAUUAUCGAAAUGUACUCUACUAAUUCAUGGGUUUUGCUUUGUUUGAAAGGUCAUCAACCUGCUCUGUUCUUUGUCCGAUCCACCAAACCACCCUUAAGAGGAAUAAAGGAUCAACAGUUCUCGAGUUGUCCUUUGCGUCCACCGGAGAGAAAGCUCUUUCAAGUUUGGGCAGAGCCGUGGUUAAUCAGGAAAAACACACGAAACUUGACAGUAGUAAGAACUAUAUAUUGUCCUUUUAACUGAAAGACACCACUGCAAUUGCUGAUUAUGGACUGUCUACUUUAAAUGACCGCACAGUCCAGAUCAAAGGAGGCUUAUGAGGAGCAGAUGGGCGGGGCCUGAGCUCUUCAUGCAGACUGUCCAGAGAUCGCCACUGCCUCGAGGAUCCCCAGAAGUGGUCAAGCAGUUUCAGCCUCCUGUGACAGUAGAAAUUACCAGCAGUCUUGAGUGAACGGACGGUCCAGAGAAGACCACAGAGUCCUGCCUCGGGGUCCUAGGAGUGGCCAAGUGAGUUCAGCCUGCUGUGAAAAUUGCCAGCGGAAUGAGUUGGAGGACGAUUCAGAGAACACAACAGGCUCCUGCUUCAGGGGCAAGCAGCUUUAGCCUCCUGUGGAAAUUGCCAACUUUGCGAUUUGAGUAACGGGUAAGACUUUUUUUUUUCCCAGUAAUGGUUAUCAUGCAGGCUGUGU